CCUACGGGAGGCAGCAGUGAGGAAUAUUGGUCAAUGGACGUGAGCCUGAACCAGCCAAGUCGCGUGAAGGAUGACUGCUCUAUGGGUUGUAAACUUCUUUUAUAAAGGAAUAAAGUGAGGCACGUGUGCCUUUUUGUAUGUACUUUAUGAAUAAGGAUCGGCUAACUCCGUGCCAGCAGCCGCGGUAAUACGGAGGAUCCGAGCGUUAUCCGGAUUUAUUGGGUUUAAAGGGGGCGUAGACGGGUUGUUAAGUCAGUUGUGAAAGUUUGUGGCUCAACCGUAAAAUUGCAGUUGAUACUGGCAGUCUUGAGUACAGUUGAGGUAGGCGGAAUGCGUGGUGUAGCGGUGAAAUGCUUAGAUAUCACGAAGAACCCCGAUUGCGAAGGCAGCCUGCUAAGCCAUGACUGACGUUGAUGCACGAAAGUGUGGGUAUCAAACAGGAUUAGAUACCCUGGUAGUC
rnacentral:rRNA from 1 species